CCGCCCGCCCAAUGCUUCCUUCCUCCCUCCCUCCUCAAGUCCCUCAUGCAUGCAUGUUCCCAAGUCCGCGGCGCCGUCCAUGAUGACUUCGCAGUUCGCUAAUCUAAAUAUCUAGUCGCCGCUGCACACUGCAGGCGACUGAGUAGACGAAGAGCAGCCAUUGCACUCGCAGCUGCGAUCAGCACUAGUAAUAUAAAGCAUCGCCCGCCGCCUGCAAUUCCUUCUUCCUUCCUUCCGCCCAAUAUACACAACAAUUCCUGCCUGCAGAUCAAUGCAAUGGCUGGCCGAGUAGUGACGAUGGAGUAAGCAGCAUCAAUGGCGGAAACAAUGCAAGUACCCUGCAAUGUAAUGGAGCUGCAAAACAAAGGCCAGCAGCAAACCUCCUGCAAGCUGGAAGCAGGAGCGGGUGAUUAAGAGAAGGUGCAGAAUGAACAGCUGAAGAUUAUGGUUAUCCGACCAUCACAGACCUGCUAUGUGGAGACUGAACAAGGCAUCUAGCUAUAUGCAGUGGCUUCAGCUUCAUCUGCAAACGGGAGCCUCAGUUCAACACAGCUGGUACAGGCAGGAGAGCAAGCCUGCUACCUUCUGAAUCUGAUGAAACAAUUUCAGCUAUCCUCAGGUCUCCAGUUUCUGCAGAAAAAUUUGAAGUUUCCUAAUCUUUAUAUUUGCACUGGUAACUCGGGCUGUUUGGACAUCCUGAUAAAUGCAAUGCAAUCCUGAUGAUUUCAGUUAAA